AAAGUCCCGGAUGUGUUCUCGAUCCGCCCGUUUUAUCGAGCAUGCAUCGGUGUAGACUUGGGACAGCUGAAUAUCCCAGAAUGCAUUUCGUCCAAAACUCAACAGCAGACUCCCGGCACAUCGUUUCCAACCCCCCCCCCCAAACCGCUCGCGGACUUCUCACUACUCAGGUUAAAGAAACCCCAGCAGCUGUCUAUAGUAUUGAGUGUCCACUAGAAUAGAAAUAAAAGCGUUCUAACAUCUCACCUGCUUGUUUUUAUUAAGCACCUAGGCCAGGGAUGUUCAACCUGCGGCUCUAAAGCCACAUGUGGCUCUCCGGCCCCUCCACUGUGGCUCUUAUAAGACCAAAUGCUCCUGUCACUCCAUUUCCCAGGUCAUCAUAGCACUCCCACACACAUGGAGCUCUCCUGCAGUAUGCAGUGUAAUGGCCCAAACCACCAGUGGUCAUCUUCCCAUGGAAAGCAAUUAAUGCCCUCAAAGUGAAUGACUUUCCUUGGAGAACCAGGUUGGAGGGAAAUUCAUUCAGUGGAAAUUCUGUUUGGUUUGCAAGAGAUGGAUUGGAGAGUGGCCUGAGGCAGGUAGACUCAGGUAGGCCGAGUCCUGCUUCCACAGCUGUGCCAAGAUGAGCCAUACCAGACUCUCUGAGGACAGAGAUAGCAGGAGAAACAAAUGGCACUUCCCUUGUCAUCCCUUUGCUGAGGUAGCAGUGCUGUGAAGAGCAGUGCUUGGUAAAAUAAACACUUGAGAUGUUCCUCAUUGUCUUAGCAAUUACAGCGGAGAUAUUGCACUGAGCAUCGAUUUGGAUCGCACCAGACCUCAACGAGACAGCUUCAAACAUUACACUAAGCAGCUCUGCUCUCCUUCUGUAGGUUUGUUGGGUCACACCAUCUGUGGCAAUGGCUUUCACCAGCUGCAGGACUGGGUUUUCACUGUCCUUCAGAACAGCAUUUUGAAAUGUUGAGCUGUCACAGAAGGCACAACAUAAGCACUGAAAAAAAGCAUCAAAUGCACAGUUUCAUCUGCAUGGAGCCAUUCGGUACAUGAAGAGAGGUAGGAAGUCCUCUUCCUUUUUUUGGGUGGAACAGCUAGGCCCCUCCAGUUCUCAACUGCAUCCCCAUCAGCCAGAGGAAUGUUUGUGGCAGCAUCAGAUCCCACAAACGGAACAAAUCCGCAUAUUUCCCUCGAUGAAGGAAAGAUGACGAGCAAUGAAGCGAUCGACUCGAACAGGCAAGUUUUCAUGUUUGAAAAGGCCAUGUUUUAUGUUUUUGAACUCAGCUUCAACAGUGGCUGAACUUGCUGUGAUGCUGGUGCUUUGAAACAGAGGGACCAUUAUUCCUGUCCAGAGUGGCAAGUAACUUGCCAGUCUUAUUAUAUGAGGAAUAAUCUCAGGGAGAAAGUGAAUAUUAUCUCUAUCCCCGUUUGCUGCAGCAAGUGACCUGCUCUCCUCACAUAUUUCUGUUACCCACUGUCGUAAGUCAGUCUGGAUCUCAUCCACUGAAUCCACUCUCUCACUUUCCUCUGUCUGUUCAUCUGGAAUGAUGAUGGAGUCUUGAGCAAUUUGGGCUUUCAGGUAUUUCUUGCACCUUUCUGAAGGAAGAGGGGAUCCAGAACUGUCAUCACCUUCUGCCUCACUGAGGGCCACAACAGUGAUAGCACGCAGUCCCACUGGCAUAUCAUCUUGAUGCAGUGCGCAACAUCAACCCUGAUAAAACAAGGCGGGAGUUUGGCAGACUGGGUUCCAAGAAGGACAUGAAAGCAUUCAUUAAGAGUGGCCAAAUUUGAAAGGUGGCUUGGCUCAGGAUCUCCAACAUCCAUCAGAUCUGCUGCCUUCGCUGACCUCCAUACAGCCGGUUCCAUUCUGCCCUCACACAGCUAUUUAGCGACCAGUUCACGCAGGUUUCCAGACAUGAACCGCUUGGAGUGGCCAGUGUGCAGGGAGAGAUCUGUAUUUCUCAUGAAACACUGGAGCACCAUUGGAGUAUUAAUUGCUGGCUGUCUGUCACAUGACAUUUCUAACUGGCCAUGACACUCCUUACAGUCGCCUCUGAUGUCCAGAUAAUUAUUGUUCACAGUUGGAUGGACCUUUGCUCUUCGGAACACAAGUUUACAUGUAUUUUUGAUCUUCUUCCAUAUAAGAUCGUUGAUGAUAUGAGUCCAAGUGCCAGGUUUCAAAAUUGUGUAUUGUCUUUUUUGGGUAGGAGAAAACUUGUCAUUGUAUUCAACCUUUUCAGGAAUAAAUUUAACCCAGUCCUCAAAAGGGACUUCUAGUUCAAAAGCUUGACAGUUUUCUUGUCCAGGAGAAAUGCAACGUGACUCUAACUCUCCUUCACUAUUACUUUCCUGAUCACUGAUUUCCAAAGCUGACCAGAUGUUGUGUCUAUUUAGCUUCACAAAAGUGUACAGGGCCUUUGCUGACAUCUUGUCUUCUAGCUGCUGACUCAGCUCUUUCCAGACUGAUGCAGCUGGAGUGGCUAUUUUGCCAUUUUGGACUAUGGCCUCUUUUGAAUUGCAAAGAAUUGCAAAAAUGGAAACCUUGUCUACAGAUGGCUUUCGAGGCAUCUAAAUUAAAAAAAAAAAAAACACACACUAUGAUUAUGAUGGAGCAAAACAUGAUUUCUGACCUAUAUAUACAGCCAGGAGCAACCCCUCCCAAAGUUCUCCACCAAUCUACACUUUCAUAUUUUGUGGAAUUAUUGUUAAGAUUGAGCUAUUGAAUUUGUGAGUUUAUUAAAUUGAGUCUGAGUGUUUAACCCAUUAACAUGUACUGUACAGCACUUUAGUCCCGUGUACUACAUGUUUUUAAAGUGCUUUAGAAACUUUUUUUCUUGGAUUUGCAAAUUUGCAAUUGCUGUAUUUUUGAAAAUGUUUAACAUUCAAAAAAAAAAUCCCUUUGAUCCAGACAGUAAGCUAUAUCAUGUAUUAACUCAGUAACUAAAACCUCAGUAUUUUAAAUGUAAGCUUACCUUGUUCAGAAAUCAGAUGUAACACGCUGUUCUAAGAAUCCUUCAGACACAGUAAUGCCAAAUAAUAGUUUUUUCUGCCAGAAAAUGUGUAUUUGAUGCAAAAGACUGCUAGCUUGUUCGUUUCUCAAAAAGUGUUCAUGGGAGUGUAAAAUGUUCAAAUGUAGUUUUCAAUAAAGUUUUUUUA